GUAAGGAAUAUUGGACAAUGGGGGAAACCCUGAUCCAGCCAUGCCGCGUGAGUGAAGAAGGCCUUCGGGUUGUAAAACUCUUUCAGAUGUGAAGAUGAUGACGGUAACAUCAGAAGAAGCUCCGGCUAACUUCGUGCCAGCAGCCGCGGUAAUACGAAGGGAGCGAGCGUUGUUCGGAAUCACUGGGCGUAAAGAGUGCUUAGGCGGUUAUACAAGUCAGGAGUGAAAUCCCAGAGUUUAACUUUUGAAUUGCUUUUGAAACUGUAUAGCUAGAGUCCCGGAGGGGUUAAUGGAAUUCCGAGUGUAGAGGUGAAAUUCGCAGAUAUUCGGAGGAACACCAGUGGCGAAGGCGAUUAACUGGACGGGCACUGACGCUGAGGCACGAAAGCGUGGGGAUCAAACAGGAUUAGAUACCCCGGUAGUCC
rnacentral:rRNA from 1 species